GAUCAUGGCUCAGGAUGAACGCUAGCUACAGGCUUAACACAUGCAAGUCGAGGGGCAGCAUGUUGGUUGCUUGCAACCAACGAUGGCGACCGGCGCACGGGUGAGUAACGCGUAUCCAACCUUCCGCAUACUCGGGAAUAGCCUUUCGAAAGAAAGAUUAACUGCCCGAUGGUUUCCCGAAUCCGCAUUGAGAACGGGAAUAAAGAUUCAUCGGUAUGCGAUGGGGAUGCGUCCA
rnacentral:rRNA from 1 species